AGGUGAACCUGCGGAAGGAUCAUUACUAGAGCAAAGGAUAGACAGCGCCCGCGGAGCUCGCUCCCGGGGCCACCCUACUCCCGUAGGGUUUAGAGUCGUCGGGCCUCUCGGAGAAGCUCGGUCCUGAACUCCACCCUUGAAUAAACUACCUUUGUUGCUUUGGCGGGCCGCCUCGUGCCAGCGGCUUCGGCUGUUGAGUGCCCGCCAGAGGACCCCAACUCUUGUUUUUAGUGAUGUCUGAGUACUAUAUAAUAGUUAAAACUUUCAACAACGGAUCUCUUGGUUCUGGCAUCGAUGAAGAACGCAGCGAAAUGCGAUAAGUAAUGUGAAUUGCAGAAUUCAGUGAAUCAUCGAAUCUUUGAACGCACAUUGCGCCCUCUGGUAUUCCGGGGGGCAUGCCUGUUCGAGCGUCAUUAUAACCACUCAAGCUCUCGCUUGGUAUUGGGGUUCGCGGUUUCGCGGCCCCUAAAAUCAGUGGCGGUGCCUGUCGGCUCUACGCGUAGUAAUACUCCUCGCGAUUGAGUCCGGUAGGUCUACUUGCCAGCAACCCCUAAUUUUUU
rnacentral:rRNA from 1 species